rnacentral:rRNA from 1 species
UUACCGAGUUUUCGGGCUUCGGCUCGACUCUCCACCCUUUGUGAACGUACCUCUGUUGCUUUGGCGGCUCCGGCCGCCAAAGGACCUCCAAACUCCAGUCAGUAAACGCAGACGUCUGAUAAACAAGUUAAUAAACUAAAACUUUCAACAACGGAUCUCUUGGUUCUGGCAUCGAUGAAGAACGCAGCGAAAUGCGAUAAGUAAUGUGAAUUGCAGAAUUCAGUGAAUCAUCGAAUCUUUGAACGCACAUUGCGCCCCUUGGUAUUCCGGGGGGCAUGCCUGUUCGAGCGUCAUUACAACCCUCAAGCUCUGCUUGGAAUUGGGCACCGUCCUCACUGCGGACGCGCCUCAAAGACCUCGGCGGUGGCUGUUCAGCCCUCAAGCGUAGUAGAAUACACCUCGCUUUGGAGUGGUUGGCGUCGCCCGCCGGACGAACCUUCUGAACUUUUCUCAAGGUUGACCUCGGAUCAGGUAGGRAUACCCG